UACGAAGGGGGCUAGCGUUAUUCGGAAUGAUUGGGCGUAAAGGACGCGUAGGCGGUUUUGUAAGUCUUUAGUGAAAUCCCCGAGCUUAACUUGGGAAUUGCUUGAGAUACUGCAUAACUAGAGUAUGGGAGAGGCAAGUGGAAUCUUUGGUGUAGAGGUGAAAUUCUUAGAUAUCAGAGAGAACGUCAGUGGCGAAAGCGACUUGCUAGAACAUUACUGACGCUGAGGCGUGAAAGCGUGGGGAGCAAAAGGG
rnacentral:rRNA from 1 species